AGGGGCGUAGCUCAAUGGCAGAGCAGGCGGCUCAUAACUGCUUGGUUCCCGGUUCGAGUCCGGGCGCCCCUA
rfam:Candidatus Xiphinematobacter sp. Idaho Grape, complete genome.